rnacentral:rRNA from 1 species
UGAACUUGUUGGUAGGCUGCAGCCACUAUACAGUGAAAACUGCGAAUGGCUCAUUAAAUCAGUUAUCGUUUAUUUGAUAGUACCUUACUACUUGGAUAACCGUGGUAAUUCUAGAGCUAAUACAUGCUAAAAAUCCCGACCUCUGGAAGGGAUGUAUUUAUUAGAUAAAAAACCAAUGCCCUCGGGCUCCUUGGUGAUUCAUAAUAACUUAACGAAUCGCAUGGCCUUGCGCCGGCGAUGGUUCAUUCAAAUUUCUGCCCUAUCAACUUUCGAUGGUAGGAUAGUGGCCUACCAUGGUUUCAACGGGUAACGGGGAAUUAGGGUUCGAUUCCGGAGAGGGAGCCUGAGAAACGGCUACCACAUCCAAGGAAGGCAGCAGGCGCGCAAAUUACCCAAUCCCAAUUCGGGGAGGUAGUGACAAUAAAUACUGAUACAGGGCUCUUUUGGGUCUUGUAAUUGGAAUGAGUACAAUUUAAAUCUCUUAACGAGGAACAAUUGGAGGGCAAGUCUGGUCCCAGCAGCCAAUAGAA